CACGUAGGGUGCGAGCGUUGUCCGGAAUUAUUGGGCGUAAAGAGCUCGUAGGCGGUGUGUCACGUCGGCCGUGAAAACUUGGGGCUUAACUCUGAGCGUGCGGUCGAUACGGGCAUCACUUGAGUUCGGCAGGGGAGACUGGAAUUCCUGGUGUAGCGGUGAAAUGCGCAGAUAUCAGGAGGAACACCGGUGGCGAAGGCGGGUCUCUGGGCCGAUACUGACGCUGAGGAGCGAAAGCAUGGGGAGCGAACAGG
rnacentral:rRNA from 1 species